rnacentral:antisense_RNA from 1 species
CUAUGGUACCAACUCUUGCUGUGCCAGCACAGAGGUCUCCAGAGCGACUCUCCUGAAUCAGAUAGCAGGGGCUGUUUGCAGUUUCGUUUCCACGCUUCGCUGACUGGUUAGACAGUGAUCACAGGUUCGGAAGCACGCGCCUCACCACAGCGGAGGAGGCCUCCACUCUGAAGCGGGAUUCCACGCUCCUGCACCCUAAGAUCAGCUAGACUCUGCCUUGUUUCAUCUUCUUUCUUUUCCUAAAGAAUCACGGGGAGAACUGACCUCUCUGGGACUCAACCGUGGCUGGAAGGGGACAGGAGAAGCCCUUUCUGGAGGACAGCUGAGCGCUGCAGCUGCCAUCCUGCCUGGCAGGCUAGGGCUGGGCUGUGGGAAGGCCCCCCAGGAGGCUUGGCUGGGUAUGCUCUGUGAAGCCCGAGGUGACUGGGACUCAUUCUAGUGAUGGACACCAAGUCAGCGGGCUCCUCUCUCCAGUUCCUCGACAUCCCUGGAGGCCCCUCUGCUCCUGCAGCCCUAGCCUUGGAGCUGAUGGUUC